rnacentral:rRNA from 1 species
ACAUCGCCUCUUGACUAAAAAUAAGAGGUCCCGCCUGCCCAGUGACUCAUGUUCAACGGCCGCGGUAUCCUAACCGUGCGAAGGUAGCGUAAUCACUUGUUCUUUAAAUGGGGACUAGUAUGAAUGGCACCACGAGGGUUAUACUGUCUCCCUUUUUUAAUCAGUGAAACUAACCCCCCCGUGAAGAAGCGGGGAUAUAAAUAUAAGACGAGAAGACCCUAUGGAGCUUUAAAUUUCAAUUCAAAUGCUAUCUAACCCUAAAAAGUUUCAACUUUUCCCCCCCCCCAAACUUAGCAUAAUGAAAUAGAAUUUUAGGUUGGGGUGACCGCGGAGCACAAAACAACCUCCACAUUGAACUAGGCCUAUCACCUUGAGCAAUGAACUACAAUCCUAUGCACAAAAAAAUUUACAUUCAUUGACCCA